GAGAUCGUGCUUCACAGGAUUAUUUCCAUAGUACAAUCGCUGAGAUGCAUCCGCGAUCUAGAAGCACACUCGACCACGAUGAUGAGUUGAGGGUCUCCGCCUGGGCAUAGAGCCAGCUUCGGGACUCUGGGUUUCGAACCGGGUGCCCGCCAUUGAUGACCGUUCCCUCGGCCCUCGUGGCUGAAGGGAGGGCGGAGACUCGGUCUGAGUGGC